UACGGGGGGGGCAAGCGUUGUUCGGAAUUACUGGGCGUAAAGGGCGCGUAGGCGGCCUUCUAAGUCGAACGUGAAAUCCCCGGGCUCAACCCGGGAACUGCGUCCGAUACUGGAAGGCUUGAAUCCGGGAGAGGGAUGCGGAAUUCCAGGUGUAGCGGUGAAAUGCGUAGAUAAUCUGGAGGAACACCGGUGGCGAAGGCGGCUCUCUAGUACGGUACUGGACGCUGAGACGCGAAAGCGUGGGAGCGAACAGG
rnacentral:rRNA from 1 species